CAAUGAUUCUGUGCACUAUUCUGUACUGGAACCAAUGAAGUUUAGAGCUUUUUGUGGUGUAGAAAGACAUAUUAUGCACUUUUUUCCAAUCAAAAAUUUUUAUUUAAUCUUAGAGACCAUUUAUCUUCACAACUAGGCCUUGUACUACUUUUUUCUAAGAAAACAUUAUACAUAUCUUUUGACCCUUUAUUUGACAAAAAAAAUGUUCUAAUAUUAUUUGGUAGAAUUGGUCCAUGAACUUUAUUAAGAUUUUCUAUAGAGAUAUUAUGUUUAAGAGAAUUUUGAUAUGAUUUUAUUGCUGAUAUAACUCCAUUAUAAACUAGAAAGUUAGAUUUAAUUUCAUAAAUAUUUUUGCAUUGCUCAAACGACAUUAAUUUACCCUCAUUAUCUACCAGAUCAUUAAUCAAUAAAAUACCGUUAUCAGCCCAGUCUUUAUAGAACACACUUCUGCUACCUAUUUUAAUAUUUCCAUUAUUCCAAAGUGAAUCUGUUAAAAAUUCUUCUUCAUUUUUUGGUUUAAGUUUAUUUAGCAUUUCUGUCCAUGCUUCAAAAAUCUCUUUCCAAAAGGGGUUUUUACAUUUGUUUGGUGGGCCUAGAAAUACUAGUUUUUCAAUAUCAAUAUUUU
rnacentral:lncRNA from 1 species